GUGCCAGCCGCCGCGGUAAUACGAAGGGUGCAAGCGUUACUCGGAAUUACUGGGCGUAAAGCGUGCGUAGGCGGUUUGUUAAGUCUGUCGUGAAAGCCCCGGGCUCAACCUGGGAAUGGCGGUGGAUACUGGCAGGCUAGAGUACGGUAGAGGAUGGUGGAAUUCCCGGUGUAGCAGUGAAAUGCGUAGAGAUCGGGAGGAACAUCUAUGGCGAAGGCAGCCAUCUGGACCAGUACUGACGCUGAGGCACGAAAGCGUGGGGAGCAAACAGGAUUAGAUACCCCCGUAGUCC
rnacentral:rRNA from 1 species